CUUCUUUAAUCUCAAAUUAAUUUGCAGUAAUAAACAAUCAUUUUCAAUUUAUUCCGAAACUCGAUACUGAAACAUCAACCUUACAAUACUUAUGGUUAGACGGUGUUCGCAUCCGGAAUCAAAAUAUAAUGUUUCGGUGGCAUGGAAACACAUUUACUUUUGGUGUGCAUAGCAGAAUGUUCCAGGCGGCUUAGACGAAGCUGUUAAAUAACUGGCAAUGUUUUAAUUCGAGUUCGAAGGUCAAAAUUUUCUAGAAACGCUUGGAAGGGAGUGAAGCCGUUUGCAAUGUCAAUGAAGUCAAUCUGAUUGAAAAGUUAUUAAAAGGAUCAUCAUCUGACCUCUUAGAACUUAGAUGAUAGUCAAACGAUUAGAUUAAAUGGAAUCAAAAGUUAUAUUAAUAAUUAAUAAUAAUUAUAAGAAGAAACAAAUUGUAAAUAUAAUGACAGUAAAUUAAAUCAACGCAUCCCAAAAGCAUUUGAUCCUCCUCGCGGUUGUGUUGGAGCGUCACCUGCUAUUGCCUUUUAAACUCAUAUAAUAUCGCUUUAUACAAAUUUAUUGAAAUAAAAAUGUAUACACAUUUGUAUGUACAUACAAAAUAAUUUAA